CGGCUUUAUUAACUCAAUGAUGAUAUAUAUUUGUUUUUACAUUGUUUGCAAACUGAUAUGUGACACGUAUUAAUGUCAAAAUGACAUGCAAUGACAAACAAUGUGGGGCUCAAACACCCGAAUGACAGGUCCCCAUUGAUAAUAAGUAAAAGUAGAAAUAAUUUCAAAUUCUUUAUAUUAAGACAACCAGAUGGUGCCAUUUUCAUGUUUUGUAUUUUAUUUACAUAAAGCCAGGGACAUAUUGCAUCACUCCAUCUUUUACAAAUGAAGCGUUUCUGUUUAGUGAGUCCUCCAGAUCAGAGGCAGUAGGGAUGACCAGGGAUGUUCUCUGUUUAGUGAGUGUGCCAGAUCAGAGACAGUAGGGAUGACCAGGGAUGUUCUCUGUUUAGUGAGUCCUCCAGAUCAGAGGCAGUAGGGAUGACCAGGGAUGUUCUCUGUUUUGUGAGUCCUCCAGAUCAGAGGCAGUAGGGAUGGACCAGGGAUGUUCUCUGUUUAGUGAGUCCUCCAGAUCAGAGGCAGUAGGGAUGACCAGGGAUGUUCUCUGUUUAGUGAGUCCUCCAGAUCAGAGACAGUAGGGAUGACCAGGGAUGUUCUCUGUUUAGUGAGUGUGCCAGAUCAGAGACAGUAGGGAUGACCAGGGAUGUUCUCUGUUUAGUGAGUCCUCCAGAUCAGAGGCAGUAGGGAUGGACCAGGGAUGUUCUCUGUUUACUGAGUCCUCCAGAUCAGAGGCAGUAGGGAUGGACCAGGGAUGUUCUCUGUUUAGUGAGUCCUCCAGAUCAGAGGCAGUAGGGAUGGACCAG
ensembl:lncRNA